CUAGGAUGAAAAUUUUUGUCCUGCAUUUUUUUUAGCUGUAAUCUCUGUCCUGCAUUUUUAUUUUCCACUCUGUUCGGUCCUGCAUUUUUUUUUUUUAGUUUAUCCUGACUUUUUUUACCUAAAUUGUCGUCCUGAUUUUUUUUUUUGCAAGUGUCUCAUCCUGCCUUUUUUUUUUACUCAAAACUCCUGUCCUGCCUAUUUUUUUCAAAUUUCAUCCUAGCCCCCCCCCCCCCCCCAUAAAAAUCAAAUGGUAGCUCCCUUAA
rnacentral:lncRNA from 1 species